rnacentral:misc_RNA from 1 species
AAAAAAAAAAAAAAAAAAGGUUUUCUGAGUCGAUGUUUUGGCAGAAGUUUUAGUGGGAGAGGAGAGCUAAUCUACUGGGAUGGAAUAUAAAAAUGCAGUAAGACUAAAUUUUAUCGGAAAAUUACAUUGAUGAGUUUGGAAUUUUAGUGCAAGGGAUUAUUCACAAAUUGUGAAUUGUUGUUAUUAUAGUAAUAAUAAUAUUAUUAUUACU